GACGAACCGUGCGAACGUUAUUCGGAAUCAUUGGGCUUAAAGGGCGCGUAGGCGGCGGUGUAAGUUGGAAGUGAAAUCCCAUCGGCUCAACCGUGGAAUUGCUCCCAGUACUGCACUGCUCGAGGGGGAUAGGGGUCUGCGGAACUACCGGUGGAGCGGUGAAAUGUGUUGAUAUCGGUGGGAACACCAGUGGCGAAGGCGGCUCACUGGUCCGGUACUGACGCUGAGGUGCGAAAGCGUGGGGAGCAAACAGG
rnacentral:rRNA from 1 species